rnacentral:rRNA from 1 species
UACAGAGGUCUCAAGCGUUGUUCGGAUUCAUUGGGCGUAAAGGGUGUGUAGGUGGCGCGCUAAGUCGGGUGUGAAAUUUCGGAGCUUAACUCCGAAACUGCAUUCGAUACUGGCGUGCUUGAGGACUGGAGAGGAGACUGGAAAUUCAUGGUGUAGCAGUGAAAAUGCGUAGAGAUCAUGAGGAAGACCAUGGCGAAAGGCGGGUC